rnacentral:piRNA from 2 species
AAACUAGGGGAAUGGGUAGGCCUCUGU